GAUAAAAUUUUUAUGUUUUUCAUAAUUUAUUAUAAAUUUAUUUUACAUAUAAAUUUUAGUACGAAAUUUUGAUUAUUUUAAUAAUAAUUAAUAAUAAUUGUAGUAAUUAAAAUUAAAAAUUUAAGAAAUUAAGAUUUAGUAAUAUAAAAAUUAAUAACUAAUUUUGUGCCAGCAG
rnacentral:rRNA from 1 species